rnacentral:rRNA from 1 species
GAUGAACGCUGGCGGCGUGCCUAAUACAUGCAAGUCGAGCGAAUGGAUUAAGAGCUUGCUCUUAUGAAGUUAGCGGCGGACGGGUGAGUAACACGUGGGUAACCUGCCCAUAAGACUGGGAUAACUCCGGGAAACCGGGGCUAAUACCGGAUAACAUUUUGAACCGCAUGGUUCGAAAUUGAAAGGCGGCUUCGGCUGUCACUUAUGGAUGGACCCGCGGCGCAUUAGCUAGUUGGUGAGGUAACGGCUCACCAAGGCAACGAUGCGUAGCCGAGCGGAGGGGGUGAUCGGACACACUGGGACUGAGACACGGCCCAGACUCCUAUGGGAGGCAGCAGUAGGGAAUCGUCCGCAAUGGUCGAAAGUCUGACGGAGCAACGCCGCGUGAGGGAUGAAGGCUUUCGGGUCGUAAAACUCUGUUGUUAGGGAAGAACAAGUGCUAGUUGAAUAAGCUGGCACCUUGACGGUACCUAACCAGAAAGCCACGGCUAACUACGUGCCAGCCGCCGCGGUAA